CUUUUGGUUGUGUGUGGCCAUAAUUUCUUACUAUCAGGUUGUAGCCCUGUGAGGCAUUGUUAUUGUGGUUUGUUGUGACAGGAUGGUAGUGCUAUAUUACAGGGGAAACUUUCGUGAAAUUUUCGUAGAAUUCCCGAGAAAUUAACAUUCGUGGACGAAUUUUUUAAAAGGGGGGAAGAAUGUUACACCUCAGAGAAUUUCAUGUCAUCGUAUGGUAGCUAGACUAACGCAGUGUGAGAAGUAUAUGAUGUUUCUAUAAGUAAGAAGUAGUAAUUAAGAUUUCAAAGACAUUUGAAGCAAGAAAGGAAAGUUCAUUAAGAAAGGCGAAGUAUACGUUGUGUUUCUGAAGAGUUUUUCAAAGUGUCGAACUAAUGAUGAUUUAGUAAUGCUUUGAGGCAUAGUUAUGAUGCCCCUUAGAUUGAUAAUGAAGUGUUAAACAAGUGCUAAGAAGAUUCUAUAAGGAUUGGAGAUCAAACGAAGCGAUGAGAACAAGAUUGGAGAAGAAGUGGAUUAUACGACCAUUUAUACGGUCCGUAUAAUGGUCCAUAUAACCAUUACAGUGAGGGUGCAUCACUAAUGGAGUUAUACGGUCACAUAACGGACCGUAUAAUGUGUCGUAUAAUGGUUACAGAAAUGAGAUGUUUUUGGAGCGAUUUCACGGCCACUUAUAUGGACCGUAUAAGUUUAUACGGACUGUAUAAGUGUCUGUAUAAUUUCCCGACGGGUCAGAUUUUCCAAUUAUAAAUAUAAGACCCCAUGUUAUUAUUUUCAUUUCCCUCACUUCUUCACUUCUCUCUAACCCUCUAGAAUAUUCCACACACUUCUUUUACAAGAAUCUAAGACUAAACAAGAAUCAACUUCAUCAAACUAAGGAAUUCAAGUGUAAGAAAGCUAUUGAGGGUUGCUUGAAGUCAAGAAAUCUCUUGGAUUGAAGCUAGGGUUUUUAUUCAAGUGGAGUAUUGCUAUCCAAAACCCAUUCCUACACUAUCAAAAGGUAAUUUUUAUGAUCAAUUCAUGUUAUUUGGAGUAGUGAGGGGUUGAAAGACUUGGAUUGUGGAAGAAAAUAGGAAAUGGGUUACAAAUAUGAGAAUAGUGACAUUUUUGAGUAGUAGCUUAAUAUGAAUCAUGAUUUUUUGUAUUUUACGAGUAUAGUUAUGUUAUAAAUGAUAUUAAGAACAUAGGAGCAACAUUACACGGGGAAGAAUGUAAUGUAGUAUUAUGACCAUGGUAUGGAUGCCCUUGAAAUGGAAAUAGGAGAAUUGAAUAAUGUAUGGUUGAUGAAGAUUAUUGAGUAUGAUAUUAUGGAUAUUGUUAUUAACGUUUGGGAGUUGGUAUAUGAUAUGGAGAAAGUUGUAUAAACAAAGGAGACGUUGCCCAAUUUUUCUCUAGCUUUAGUUCAUGCAUGCUUAAGUUGUCAAUUAUCUAAUGUUAGUACGAACUCUCUUGAAGGUAGAAACGUGAAUAUUGGAGGGGAACGUUCAAGGGAUAAAGUAGCUAAACGAAAAGUAUGUAAGGCUAGUCCCUUCUUUCCUAAGGCAUGAUUCUUAUGACAUGAUUUUCCCUAUUCUCCAUGACCUUCUUACAUUCCGGAAAUUAUGAGUCUAUGAUGAUGAUGAGUCUAAGUCUAAAGAUUCUAAAGCCCAUGAUAUGAUGUUUCUACAAAGAUAAUGAUCCUAAUUAUGAUUCUUUGAUGUUGUUCAUUGUGUUACACUCACCUUAUAAUGCUAGUUCCGUCAAGGUGAGGCAGAAUACUCAUGAAUACUCCAUAAUGGAAUCGGGAGUUCACGACCUUACGUUACCCCGAUAGAGUACAGUUGUCUUUGAGUUCUUAAGCAUGCUCCAUGAUAAGUCUGUGAGGAUGAUAUUACACCGCGCCUAUAUGGUCGGGCAGACACCGCUAAGGCGGGCGGCAUAUACACCAUGUCUAGAGGGCAUGGCAGACACCACUAGUGGGUGGCAUGAGAUGUUUACCCCGGACGCGAUAGGCCUGGACGCGGGCUAAUGAUGGUCACACCGUACCUAUAUGGUCGAGCAGCCUAUAUAUGCAUACAUGAUAUGAUGAUGUUUAUGAAGUAAGUUAACAUGCAUUAUUACGUGUGGGUAAGUUGUGCCCCAUGAUGAUGUCAGUGUACGUUUUUGUAUAUCAUUUUUGUAGCCGUACGGGCUUAUGUAUAUCCAUGUAUAGCUUUGGGGUUUAUAUUUAUGUUCAGUUGAGUAUGAUGACUAGCAGGAUGAGUGGUGCUCGGUAAUCAGCUCUGGAUACCCGUCAUGGUCCCCUGGCCGGGUCGUGACAACCCCGUCGUGCCCAAAUAUAUACACAAAAGAAUAUGACCAUAAGUAUCACCUCCGGAGUAGUGGAGUGCUCCUGUGGUUCCGCUGAUAAGCUCCUACGGGUCUGCACCGUCUCCCUGUCUACAUGUGGGCAUGAACACAGUGUCCAAAAGAAAAGGACGUCAGUACGAAAAGUGUACUGAGUAUGCAAGGCAUGAAUAAUACUAACAUAAUAAAGAAAUAAUAAAACAUGAGGCGAAGAUAUAACCUGCUUAACUUUUAAGAGAAAACACAUGUUAUACAUAUCAAAUAUACCAUCAUCGUUAAACCGCGUCCGGGUAACUAUCAUACGCCGCCCACUAGUGGUGUCAUGUCCGACCCUUUAGGCACAGGGUAAUCAAAGAAGCCCGCCUCAGCGGUGUUAUGUCCGGCCAUCGAGGCACAGUGUAAUCAUAGUAGCCCGCCUUAGCGGUGUCAUGUCCGGCCAUCAAGACACGGUGUAAUCUCAUCAUUAUAUACUUAUCAUAAAGCAUGCAUUAUAAAUCAAUUAAAUACUACAACUCUAUCGGGGUGACGUAAGGUCGAGAACCCCCGAUUCCAUUAUAGAGUAGUCAUGAUCAUCGUGUCUCACCUUGAAGGAACUAGCAUUAUAAGGUGAGUCUAGCAACAAUGAAUAACAUCAAAAAAUCAUAAAAGGGUCAUUAGCUUCAUAGGAAUAUCAUAUCAUGGGCUUUAGAAUCUCUAAACUUAGACUCAUCAUCAUCAUCAUUAUCAUAUUCAUAACAUAUCUCUUGUCUUUUUCUCAUGAGAAGCUCUUAUUAAUCAUAGACUCAUAGUUUCCGGAAUAUGGGAACAUCAUGGAAAGUUAAAGAAAGUCAUAUUAUAGGAAUCAUGCCUUAGAAGAAAAGAAGGGACUAGCCUCACAUACCUUGAUGUCGCUCUAACUUUAUCAAUUAAGUGCUUUCCUCCAAUGUUCACGAUUCUACAUUCAAGAGAAAUUUGUACUAAGAUUAGAUAAUCGGAACUAUACUUAAGCUUAAGCUAAAGCUAACGAAAAUUGGGCAGCAUCUCCUUUGUUUCUACAACUUCCUCCAUAUGAUAUAACAACUCCCAAACAUCCAUAACAACAUUCAUAAUAUCGUAGUCAACAACCUUUUCAAGUUCGACGUUAUUCGAUUCCCAUAAUUUCUUAACAAAAUGAUUCAUGACCAUAACUAUAGCAUAGCACCAUAUUAGUUAUCAUAUUAUAUUUCCUUAACAUCAUUUGCAUCAUCUACAACAAGAUUUUACUCAUAAUAUAUCAAGAGUCAUGAUUCAUGUCAAGCUACUAUUCAAGAACACAAUUAUUCACAAUUGAGCUCUAUAUUCUACUUUCUUCCAUAAUCCAAGUCUUUCAACCCUUCAAUAUUCUAAAUAACAUGAAAUGAUCAUAAAACUCACCUUUGAUUAUGUAGGAACGGGCUUGGGAUGGAAACACCUCACUUGGAGAAAACCCUAACUUCAACUUCAAAGAGAUUCUUGACUUCUAACAACCCUAGAGAACUCCCUUGCACUUGAUUUCCUUGGAUUGAUUAUAUUGAUAUUUGAUUUCCCUUGAAUUUUUGUAAAUGAAGUGUGUGGAAUGUUCUAGAGGUGUAGAGAGAAGUGGAGAAGUUGAAAGAAUGAAAAUUUGGAAGUGGGAACAUGUUUUAUACUUGAAAAAUACUCAGCCCGUCGGGUGUUAUACGGACCCUUAUGCGGUUCGUAUAAUAUUAUACGGUCCGUAUAAGUGAUCGUAUUUCACCAUCAGGAAAAUCCCUUUUUCUGUUCGGUUAUACGAACCGUAUAAGUGGUCGUAUAACUCCACUUUCCUGAAAUUAUUUCUGUCGUUUCGUUUGAUCUCCAAUCCUUAUGGAACCUUCUUAGCACUUGUUUAACACUUCAUUAACAAUCUAAGGAGCAUUAUAACUCUUCCUCAAGACCAUAUUAAAUCAACAUUAGCUCGGUACUUUGCAAACCCCUUUCAAAACACGACUUAUACUUGACAUUCUUCACGAACUUUCUUCUCUUGCCUCAAACGUCUUCGGAAUCUUAAUUAGAACCGUUAAGUAACAUUUCUUACUUGUAGGGACAUCGCACGCAUCUCACCCUGCGUUAGUCUAUCUGUUACAUCCCGUGUUCUCAUGCGUUAGAAAAUGUACGAGUUAAAUGAUAUUAGUGAUGGACACGAGGUUAUCCCCCAAGCUUAUAGGUGGUUGAAGUGAUGGUACACAUGUAUCGUAAGGAUUUGAAGUUAAACCAAUCGAAGAAAAUAAGUUUUGUCGAGUUUCAACAUUUAUUUGAGUGAAAUAUGGUCCAAGUUAUAAUACCUCGUAUUUUUGGACUAGAACAUUUAAUCGUCCAACAUGAGCAAAUUUACCCGAGCCCGGAGAAUUCGAUCAUAUCCAAGGAUGAAAAUCAAGAGCUCGGUAUAUACAAGGAAUGAAGUCCCAAAAUAAUUUAGGACUUAACAAGUGUGACCACGGUGAUUGAGAAUAAUAUUUUGUGUGUACCAAAAGGGACUAUGGACUAGUGCUAUGUCACAUAAUCAUGACAAUGAGUAUAUGAAGUGUAUUAAAAAUAAUUAUUAUUAAAGUGAAUUGAGAUCAAGAAAUUAAUCAUGUGGAUAAUUGGUUAAAUGUUAGAAUAAAGUGGGAGACUAGAAAUUAAUUAGUGUAUUUUUGGAUAUGAAAUAAUGUGGAUAGCUAUUGAUGUGGGAGCACCCUUCCACGUGGCAAUAGGAGGCAAGAAACUAAUGAAUAUGCAUUUGCAUGGAUUCGGUGUCACCAUUUGGUGGAAGAUAAUUAUCAUGGGAUCAUUACGUGUAAGUGGGCUCCACACCCACUAAAAAAAGGGAUGGAUCAAUAUAAUGGAAGGUUUCACAAGGAAUUGAUGUACAUACAGAACGUUUUGUUUUUCUCCAAGGGAAAGGCACACAAAUGUAGCAAUCUUGUUCUUUAGGAAUUUACAUAGGUAACGAAUAUUACUGGUACUAAAGUGACUUUCACUUUUUAUCAAGCAACAUGGUUUUCCUUUUAGGCAGCAACAUGAAAAUUUCAUGAGGACAAAGUACAAUUCUCGUCGACAACAACAUACGGAUUUUGCUCACUACUUCGAUCUCAUUGUUCCGUUUUGUUGCGCUGUUUAACCCGGGCUUUCUUCGUAAUGAACUAAGGUGGAAGAAGAUUAAAUCUUGGCAUAUAAGAUUGAUGAAGCCCGAGACCUAAGUUAUGGUUAACUUGAGAAGCGACAAGGUACAGAUACUCGAUUUGGUGAUCCUCCAGCUUAGGAUUUCUACUCAGCUGUCUUGGAAAGCUCCAUUGUUCCGGAGCCUAGACUUUUGGUACAGAUCUUUUGAUGUAUAUGUAUAUAUGUUUAUCCAGGGGUACGGCGGGCCCUGUCCCGUCAUAUUUCACCGUUGAUACUCUUAGAGGUCUGUAGACAUAUGUGUGGGUUGUGUAUAAGUUUUGGUCCAGUUGUGUCUAUACGAUGUGCUAUGGAUAUGUUCGUCUGUUGUGGCAGCCUCGUCGGCUUGCAUAUGGUAUUGAUAUGUAGUGGCAGCCUUGUCGGCUUGCGUAUCAUAUUGACAUGUAAUGGCAGCCUUGUCAGCUUGUGUAUCAUAUUAUAUUUUGAUUAGUUGUGACUCCUCAGGAGACAGGUUAUCUGGAUACACAUAUAUGAUGACGUUAUGAACCUUCGAGGUUCUUUUGCAAGUUUCCA